rnacentral:rRNA from 1 species
GAUGAACGCUGGCGGCGUGCCUAAUACAUGCAAGUCGAGCGAAUGGAUUAAGAGCUUGCUCUUAUGAAGUUAGCGGCGGACGGGUGAGUAACACGUGGGUAACCUGCCCAUAAGACUGGGAUAACUCCGGGAAACCGGGGCUAAUACCGGAUAACAUUUUGAACCGCAUGGUUCGAAAUUGAAAGGCGGCUUCGGCUGUCACUUAUGGAUGGACCCGCGUCGCAUUAGCUAGUUGGUGAGGUAACGGCUCACCAAGGCAACGAUGCGUAGCCGACCUGGGAGGGUGUUCGGACACACUGGGACUGAGACACGGCCCAGACUCCUACGGGAGGCAGCGGUAGGGAAUCUUCCGCAAUGGACGAAAGUCUGACGGAGCAACGCCGCGUGAGUGAUGAAGGCUUUCGGGUCGUAAAACUCUGUUGUUAGGGAAGAACAAGUGCUAGUUGAAUAAGCUGGCACCUUGACGGUACCUAACCAGAAAGCCACGGCUAACUACGUGCCAGCCGCCGCCGUAA